UACGUAGGUGGCAAGCGUUGUCCGGAGUUAUUGGGCGUAAAGCGCGCGCAGGCGGUGCGGUAAGUCUCUUGUGAAAGCGCUCGGCUUAACUGGGCGAGGGCCGGGGAGACUGCCACGCUGGAGGGGAGCAGAGGCGAGUGGAAUUCCGGGUGUAGUGGUGAAAUGCGUAGAGAUCCGGAGGAACACCAGUGGCGAAGGCGGCUCGCUGGGCUCUACCUGACGCUGAGGCGCGAAAGCGUGGGGAGCGAACCGG
rnacentral:rRNA from 1 species